CUUUUUUUCAAUUGACCGCAUUGAAAGCUGCUCCAGCAGAGAGGUUCUGCAUAGGAGAGCCACUGAACGAAUUUAUUCAAUAUUUUAUGGUUAAAAUCCCUCCAAAAAGCGAGUUACUCUUUUGUAGCACUUCCUUAUCAGCGUGGGCUGAGUUGGAGACUGUGUGUGUGUGUGAGGCAAAAGUGCAGUUUACUCGUCCUUGAGAAGGGAGUGGAACCGGAGUUCCUUGAGCCUGGAGUUUGUGAAGCUCUUUGAAAGCAUCUUGGCUAGGUUUUUUGAUGACCUUUGAAUUACACUGGAUUUGGAUUCUGGAUUCUCCCUGAAGAGGGGGAUGGCGAGCUAACCCUUGAUUGACGGACCUGACUGCUUGCUUUUCCCAAGGAGCACAAUCUUCACUUCCUACCUCUCCAGUGUGCCACCUUGUAUGUCAUCAUGUCCUCCAUAUGGUAGAGUCAGGGGCCCUCCUGUCCUGUGGUGACCACAGCAGGAGGUCCGGACCUGUCAUCUGCACAGCCAGUGUCCAGAACACUUCAGUCAGACUUCACAAUCUUUAAGAGUAACUUGCGGCCUCGACAGCAUCGGCGCGGUUGUCACGGUGCGACCGAUCCUUCGCGUCUCAGUCCCUCGCCGGCGGCGAGUGUGAGCCCAGCGCGUCUGUCAGCUGUCAGAGGAAGGCGGCUGAUACAGAGACCUGUCACUUCUCGUCAAGCUGCUUUACUGAGGCCUUUUGCAGCUGCCUUUCUCCGGGCUACAGGAAGUAAGCGUGAGUGUGAGUACGCGUGAGAGGGAGUGUGGGUUUGCGCGCGUCUGUGUGCGUGUGUGUGUGUGUGUGUGCGCGCGAUGACAGGGCAGGGAAAUAAAGAAGGCCAGGCAGGAAGUACAUUACACUGUAAAUACCACAUCAAGUAAAUCUGAUGAGUGAACUUUUGCAGCCUCUGCUGGUCUCUUUAAGGAAUUACAGCAAUAACAAAAGGUUUAUUGCAGUCAAUGGCAGCUAACAAGUUAACCAUUUCUGGCACGAUUUUAUUUCCCUUGUAUUUGUAAAUGUAAAUGUUUUUAUUAUAUUUGUAUUUGAGAGGGGUCUCAAACUUGCAAACUAGGUGCCAAUUGCGGCCCCAUUUGACAUCUCAUUGUAGAAUUAGUGUUGACGGCGUGUAUUUAGUGAUAGGCAAUUAAGAAAAUGAUAAAUACCAUAGGCGGAGUUUGACUUUUGGGGCAGGGGGCGGCAAAACACGUUGAUGACCCCAAAACGCAGUGUCAGCAAUAAAAUUAACUUCCAAGAAUAUUUAUAAUAAUAGGUUGACAAUUAGAGUUUCUUUCUUUCCCAUCAUUCUUGAGGGGAAUUCUAAAUCAAGCUGCUUAGGCAAUACUUUUCGGCAAGAUCGUCAAUUUGGUACAACUGCCGUUGUCGUGCCAAUGUAGUUACCCCUGUCAAAAAAUGUUAUCCCCUUGGCGGAGCUAAGUGGAGGUAGAUUUGUGUCUUUACUAUUCAAUCAAAAACAGUUGCUUUAAUUAAAAUAUAUAAUUUCAACCAAAAAAAGUCACUUCAAUAAAAAAAAAAAAAAAGUG